GAUGAACGCUGGCGGCGUGCCUUAAGCAUGCAAGUCGAGCGGAAAGGCCCUUUCGGGGGUACUCGAGCGGCGAACGGGUGAGUAACACGUGAGUAAUCUGCCCUUGGCUUUGGGAUAACCACCGGAAACGGUGGCUAAUACCGGAUAUGACGCGCCCCGGCAUCGGGGUGUGUGGAAAGUUUUUUCGGCCAGGGAUGUGCUCGCGGCCUAUCAGCUUGUUGGUGGGGUAAUGGCCUACCAAGGCUUCGACGGGUAGCCGGCCUGAGAGGGUGACCGGCCACACUGGGACUGAGACACGGCCCAGACUCCUGCGGGAGGCAGCAGUGGGGAAUAUUGGACAAUGGGCGGAAGCCUGAUCCAGCAACGCCGCGUGAGGGAUGACGGCCUUCGGGUUGUAAACCUCUUUCAGUACCGACGAAGCGCCGAUGAUGGUGGUGACGGUAGGUGCAGAAGAAGCACCGGCCAACUACGUGCCAGCAGCCGCCGUAA
rnacentral:rRNA from 1 species